UACGUAGGGGGCAAGCGUUGUCCGGAAUCAUUGGGCGUAAAGAGCGUGUAGGCGGCCUGAUAAGUCGGCUGUGAAAGUCAAGGGCUCAACCCUUGAAUGCCGGCCGAUACUGUCAGGCUAGAGUCCGGAAGAGGCGAGUGGAAUUCCUGGUGGUAGCGGUGAAAUGCGCAGAUAUCAGGAGGAACACCUAUGGCGAAGGCAGCUCGCUGGGACGGUACUGACGCUGAGACGCGAAAGCGUGGGGAGCGAACAGG
rnacentral:rRNA from 1 species